GGACCAGUCACCACAAUGUCUGCUUUGCAAGUAAUAGAGCUAAUUGAUGAUACAGAAGCCACAGUUUGGUUCUUUCAGCUAUAAGUGGCUACACAGAUCUGUAGCCAAGACCAUCCUUACACAGAGUGCACAUGGAGGGGGAAGAUCCUUCAAAAUAGCUCCGUUCCGUAAUAGUACUGCGCAGCCCCUAGUCAGCCUGUCAGUCUACCUUUCUGAAUUCUGAGAUGCUCUGGAAAUCAAAAAUGAAUAACACGUCACGUCCUUCCAUGUUGGAGAACUGUGGCCAGAUGACCUCUGUCAAAUGCUGUGCUCCUGCAAUGAAGAAAGGAAUGAAGACAGCAAGUCUUCCGAGAAAAAAUGAAGCAAGGCAUCGCACCCAUCCCUUUUCCAGACUCUACUUAUAACCAACACAUGACUCCACUGACUGUUCACAAAGACCUCCUAGACGCCUGGCAUUCUGCUGGAUGCUGUCAGUGCAUGAUGAAGAAAAUCAACACCCACAAGAAGCUUAUACCAGUGGGAUACAACUGGGAAUGGACGAGUGUUUCCAGAACCCUGAUAAAAAUUCUACCAUCGUCAACCCAGCUUCCCCACCCAUGGAAGGAAGGAUUUCUUCUCGCUCGACCAAAAGCAAAAUCCAUCCGUGUGCUAAGUUAUCGAGGAAGUAGGGAGGAUGGAAGAGGCAAGGCAAACAGCCGGUGCUUGGAAGGUGGACAGGGUCUUCUUCUGAGAAGGGGCUGAAGGACAGCUUGCUGCGGACGCCGUGGGUGAGAAAAAGCGCGGAAGAGAAGACUGGGAGUGUCAGUGAGCGCAGCUGUGCACAAUGCCCGGAUUUCUUUCACUGUCCUCUAAGAUAUUUCAGUAAAGAAUGCAAUUUAUUUUUCAUCCCCGUGGCUGUGUGGACUGUUCCAUAAACGCGAUACCGACUCUGAGCCACGUGGGCUUGGAUAUAUUCGAUAUUGCAGGUGUUUC
rnacentral:lncRNA from 12 species